rnacentral:lncRNA from 1 species
UGUAAAGAAUAAAAGUAAAAUCAUUUAAACAGGUUUAAAUUCCCAUUUUCUUCUCAGAACUCUGAGGCUGUUCAGGAUGAAGAUCAACAGUUUCCAUCACUGAAAGACAACCAGUUUUCUGAACAGGAGCUCAUCUCUGCGCGCUCUGCAUUGCUUCACUCACUGGAGGAUGGAGGUAGUUCAUCUGGAACUUUAGCUGGUUAUUCUGGUGAACUUAGUCCCAGGAAACCAGACCAGGGCAAAGAGUCUGAGGGGUCUGCGGCCAGCUUUGAGGAAAAUCUUAACGCAAAGAAGACAAUCCAGAGGACAGAGGAAAGUGAGGAGGUCAGUCCCACUGGGAGGACUGAUGGGGAAUGUCCUCCAAAACAUAAAUGCUCAGAGGAGUCCUUUCCUUCAGAUGAGAGUUUGAGUGAAGCAUGCAGACUCUGUGACUCUGAUAUCGAGACAAACACAAAUGCUGCUGGAGCUUCUGGGGGGCGUGUCCAUGUUCAGAUAGUUCAGGGAACCAUCGAGACUCAGGAGACAGACGCUCUGGUGUCUCCCAUGGUCGGCUAUAAACACCUGUCUACUCGUCUUGGAAACAUCCUAGAAAACAUAGUUGGCUCUCGUCUCACUGAAAACUUCAUAGAAGCAUCAGGAGACGAAUGGAUCCCGGGGAACUUUGUGCUGGUAGAGGGACUCCCUGGACUUCCUUCCAGCGCAGCGUUCUUCCUCGAUCUCAUUCCAUGGAAUGAAGAUGAAGAUGGAACUGCAGUUCAGAUUCUAAGGUCAGGGAUCAACAACAUCCUAACUUCCUGUGACGACAAAGGCUUCAGAUCUGUGGCUCUUCCUGCACUCGGAGAUGGAAUUGUCCUGGGUUUUCCUAUCAGUUUGGUAGCCAGAGUCAUACUAGAGGAGCUUUAUAAAUAUGAACGUGAGCGAGUCAGCAGCACAGACCUCUCAGUUCGUAUUGUCCUUCUGCCUGAAAACAAAAAAGCUAUAGAGGUGAGAAAAACUGAUUUUGCAGCUUUAAAAGUUUACUAAAUAUUUUACAACUUUUUGCUGUCUUUCUUUACAACAAAAGCGAAAAUAUGUGUCGUGUGUUACUUGAGAGCAUCCUCUACGUCAGACAGUUCUGUAGAUCUGAAGUAAACAGAGACUCCAGACAUUCCAAACCUCAUAUAAACUGAGAAUAGGUCUUAAAAUGACAAAGAAAGAUCAGACAGAAUAGUAAAGGUUCAAAAUGAUUU